rnacentral:lncRNA from 1 species
CAAGGCUGGGGCUAGGCAAGAUGGAGGUCAUCCCUCCGCCCACCAGCGCGUCAUGAAGAGGAGCUUUUACAGGCGAAGACCACCUUUUCCAGGGCGAGCUGCAGUCUUGUGCCCUUCCAAAAUGGCGACCGAUGCUUGCGCUAUCCCUUGAUAAUCAUCACCCCUGUCAGGCGGGCCUCCGCGAGGUAGGCGAUUCUGUCCAGGACGGGUCCCACCCUCGGGUCGGUGAGCUUCGCGUGCCUCCACCUGGGGUCUGCUCGGGCGGGCUUCAGGGGAUCGCGAAGGACGAGCUCUCC